rnacentral:rRNA from 1 species
UACGAAGGGGGGCUAGCGCUGCUCGGAAUCACUGGGCGUAAAGCGCACGUAGGCGGAUCUUUAAGUCAGGGGUGAAAUCCUGGAGCUCAACUCCAGAACUGCCUUUGAUACUGAGGAUCUCGAGUCCGGGAGAGGUGAGUGGAACUGCGAGUGUAGAGGUGAAAUUCGUAGAUAUUCGCAAGAACACCAGUGGCGAAGGCGGCUCACUGGCCCGGUACUGACGCUGAGGUGCGAAAGCGUGGGGAGCAAACAGG